rnacentral:tRNA from 1 species
AAUGCAAAGGAACUCCGCUAAACGGCUGCGGUGAAGCAGCGCUUCUUCGCCACUCUCUAAACCACUACCACUUUCGG